UACGUAGGGUGCAAGCGUUUGUCCGGAAUUAUUGGGCGUAAAGGGCUCGUAGGCGGUUUGUCGCGUCGGGAGUGAAAACCUCGGGCUUAACUCGGGGCUUGCUUUCGAUACGGGCAGACUAGAGGUAUGCAGGGGAGAACGGAAUUCCUGGUGUAGCGGUGAAAUGCGCAGAUAUCAGGAGGAACACCGGUGGCGAAGGCGGUUCUCUGGGCAUGAUCUGACGCUGAGGAGCGAAAGUGUGGGGAGCGAACAGG
rnacentral:rRNA from 1 species